CCCAUGCAUAGCGGGACUAAAUCGUCGGGCUGGCUAUGCUACUGUAUGUUCUCAAAACUACAGGGUGUCCCAAAAAAACCGAAAACUAUUGAAAUCACUUAUUGUUAAAUUUGAAUGCCCUACCAAACAGCUGGACGUAAUGAUGCGUAAAAUAUUGACAAGGUGCAUGUAUUAGAAUUUAGUUAGGAAUAUCUCUUGGUAAAGUGCGCAAUUUUCUGCUCCUGGGAAUUAAAAACAGCUUCUUAAACAGUUUCUUUAUGCAUAAAAAUUACUUAUGUCAAUCAUUUAUGCACACGUGGGAACCAACAGAGCGCUAAGGCAUUCAAAUUCUAACAAUUAAAUUGUUAUUAGUGAUAUCAAUAGUUUUCGUUUUUUUGGGACACCCUGUAGAAAAGUGAUAUUUGAAAACGCUCUAUCUUGCCAUAAGCUAAUGGUAUGCAUAUCGGAAGAACGUUUUCAACUAAAUAAAAGAUAGAAACAUGCAGGAUACGUUACUCAUACAUUUGAACGUGUAACAGAAUAACUAUGUUUAUGUAUGUGACACAGAUCAGCAUUGGGUUCUGUAUUUGUAAAAAAAUAUAAUUGAACUAUAACCAACAUUAUAUCUCAUUUGUGUCGGUGUUCUUUGAUCGUCCAAGGUUUAUAACUAGCUAAUAUACCUUGAAUAAAUAAUUACAUCAAACUUUUUGACAAAACGCGAGAAUUUUUCAUCAAAAAUUUUUGAAAAUGACCAAAUAUGUUAGAAAACCUCUACAAAUGAGAUAUAUGUUAGUUAUAAACCUCGAAAGUCGGUUUAUAACUGAUAUAUUGCCCUCGGACGCUGCGCGUCCUCGGGGGCAAUAUAUCAGUUAUAAACCUCCUUCUCAGUUUAUAACUCUAACUUCUGAAACGUGGAUGAACAUCGAUGAUAGCAAGGGGCAUGAAGCAAGCAAUAUGGCAAAAACAAAACGUCAGUAAAUACUUUCACCGAAUCACUAUCUAUCUGGAAUACAAUCUAGACAUAGAGACAGGAUGCAUUUGAACUUUCAAUCACGAAAGCAUAUUUUUCUAUCUGUGGAAAAUGACGUUGAAAUUCAACCUCCAUUUUGCGACGUAGUGAAACACUGAUGAAAGCAAUAAUUAUAACUACUAUGAAUAAAAUGCCAACCUUUUGCUCCUACCUUAAUCUGGACGACAGAACAAUAUGUGUUCUUCACUCGUAUAUACUCUGAGUGAACAAAGAAAUGAGGGAAAUAAAUUAAUGGCUGAUAUACCAGUUAUAAAUAUUAACACCUUCAGCUGACUAUUUCGAACGGAGUAUAUUUGUGUCAUGCCAUGCAUUCUCGUUCACUAAAAACUGCAAAAUCAUCUGUUAUUCAAAAACUUCAAUUAAAUUAAACAUAGACUUAUAACAUUCCAACGGCAAAGAGACGGGUAAAGUGAGGCUUAUAGCGGUGCAACAGUUGUGAUUAAUGGCUUUAACUAUAGAUAUUUGUGCUGCAUGGUUUGAAACACCGAAAAUGAAACGGCGGCUUUUGCUCCCACAGUGACAAAUGUUACCAAAUCAGGUGCGUGGAAAGGCAUCCUAGUAACAAAACCGUCCAGGAAUCCGUAAUUAACUCUUGUGGUUAUGAGAGCUUUCAAAAAUAUAUGGGAUAAUCGGUGAGAUAAAAACAAUCAUUAUAUAUAACGACUAUGACUAUGUACAUCAUGUACACGCGAAUGUGGUUCAAUUGUGGUGCGCAUGUUGUUGGUAUACGGAAGCUCGAUAUCAGACGAACUAAAAUUAGGAUUCUGCAAAAACUACGAAAAGAAUUGUUGUAGUUCCACAAGGUAGUUCAAGAACGUUGCCGGAAUGUUGGUAAAGACUAAAGGUAGAUAACUAAGAACAUUAUGAACAGAAACUUGUUGUUCCAAGGCUUAAAUUUUAGAAACAUUUUCUACUAUAAUAUAUCGUUUAAUAUUCUACAAUUUUAAUAAUUUUAUUGACCUUUUUUCUUAAAUAAUAACAUACAAUAAAGUUGCAUGAGAGCUAGAUGUUAGAAUUUCAAGAGCUGCUGAAGCUUUAAGAUAUCUUGUAAAACAAACUGUUGAUAGCAUUUUUGUUAAAUAGUUUUCAACGAUGUAUCACCAACGUUCAAU
rnacentral:lncRNA from 1 species